rnacentral:RNase_P_RNA from 1 species
AGGAGCGGCAGGGCAAACCCCACCGGGAGCAAAACCGAAUAGGGGCGGUGCGAGGGGAAACCUUCGAGGGCUGUUUCCGGCCCACCGUCCGGGUUGGUUGCGUGAGGCGCAUGGCAACAUGCGCCCGAGAUGAAUGGCCGCCACGUUCUCGUCGCAAGGCGAGGGCCAUACAGAACCCGGCUUACAGGCCAGCUGGCAUU